GCCAGCAUGGUGUAGUGGUUUGGGCACUGGAUUAUAACUCUGGAAACUAGGGUUCAGUUCCCAGUUCGGUCA